rnacentral:lncRNA from 1 species
AUGCAAAGCAACAUUCGUUUGGUCGUCUUUUUUUGGGGGGGUCGCCUAUGUAAGUCAGAAGACGAGGAGGUGUUUGAGGAGAUUCGACGGCUCCGUCUGGAGAGAGGCCGCCUGCUCCAGAAGAUCAAAGCCUUGGAGCAGCAGCAGCAGAGUGCCAUCUCUGCCUUGGGAGAGUUGUCCCAACUGAAGCAGCGUCUGAAGGAGGCUGAGGCACAGAGGGACAACCUGCUAGAGGAGCUAAACGGAGGCCAUGGUAUAGGGGCCAGUGACUCUGAGGACAUGGACGAAAUGCUGGACUUCCCAGAGAAGCUGCUCUCCAAGCACUCCAGAGCCUCCCCUGCUCAGGGCGAGGACACUGACUCAGCCAGUCCCUCUCCCGCCCCUGCAGACCCAGGAACUGUUGCUGAGCUGCAAACACAAAUAGAGGAACUGACCUUGCAGAACUCCGAACUUGUUCUCAAAGUACAGGUAACGUCAGCGAGAGCACGAAUACAUGCACCUAUGCACAAAAAGAAAAAGAAAAAACACGUAUUCAACUGACAAUAAAUAUACAAAAUAUAAAAAU